UACGAGAGGCCCAAACGUUAUUCGGAUUUACUGGGCUUAAAGAGCUCGUAGGCGGUCUGUUGCGUCGGCUGUGAAAACCCGGGGCUCAACUCCGGGCCUGCAGCCGAUACGGGCAGACUAGAGUUCGGCAGGGGAGACUGGAAUUCCUGGUGUAGCGGUGAAAUGCGCAGAUAUCAGGAGGAACACCGGUGGCGAAGGCGGGUCUCUGGGCCGAUACUGACGCUGAGGAGCGAAAGCGUGGGGAGCGAACAGG
rnacentral:rRNA from 1 species